UGGCGGUGGAACUCCGGGGAGGAGCUGGCUGGGGCGGAGGUGAUGAUCCAGGAUGCGGGCCAGCGUAGGGGUCUUGGUGGGCAUGCUGGGGUCGAUGGAGCCAGGAGGGAGAGGGGGGGGACAGGUGGGUACCUGGGCUGGAGGCGCGGCCUGAGGUGGGCAGGUGCAGGGGGCGUGACUUCAUUUAGGGGCAGGGCCUGGGGCUAGGCUGAAGCCGGGAGUGAGGACCCCGCUCUCGGGUGGAAUUGGAGGGGACCAGCGGUUGGGCGCGGCAGGGCUCACAGGGACACCCCCGUUCUCCUCCCCAGGGAGAAAGUGCUCGUCGUGCACGGCUUCCCGCCCGCCGUGGCAACCCUUCGGGUAAGGAAGGAGACCAGGCGGCGGCAGGCGGGCAAGGGCUUGGGGUCCGCCCCCUGCCUGGAGCCGCCCUAACUCCUCCGUAUCCUGCCGCUGUUGGAGUGGGCCUGGAACCCCCUCCAUAGGCGCGCCUCCUACUCCCGCUGCACCCCGACCUCUGCCGGGACCUCUAUGCGCCGCGCCGCACGGGCGAUGGCCUUCGGGCCUCCCCGGCCCCGGGGCACCGCGCAGGUCCCUUUGCUGACACCAAGCCCGAGCCUGAGCCGGACCCGGGGCCCAAGAGGCCUGUGCGCCCUGCGAGCCCUUGAGCUCCAGGGGAGGUCCGCCCCAGGCAGGGCGGCUCAUCCCCCAGACCACUUCGGAUCCAGCUGUUUGUUGAGGAGCCAGGAAACGCCCUGACACUUUUGCGGCCCUGUCCCCGUCUCUAAGAUGGGAUGAUAGUAGUUCUGGCCAUUCCUGAGCACAGCAGGACCUGCCUUUUCCCUUUGACUGGAAGGUUCUUCUCUACACCUAUCUUGAUGACCUGCCACCUCCACAGGGAGGUCUUCUCUAUCUCCCGAUUUAAAAUUGCAGCUCUGAGAAGCCGGGCAUGGUGGCAUAUGCCUGUAGUCCCAGCUACGGGGGAGGCUGAGGUGGGAGGAUCGCUUGAUCCCAGGAGUUGGAGGCUGCAUGAGCUAUGAUCGCUCCACUGCACUAUAGCCUGGGCAAAAGAGCAAGAAACUGUCUCUAAAAAUAUAAAAUAAAAUUGCACCUCUUGUGUACUUCCCCGUCUGCUUCUUUACCUGAAUACUUACUAUCUCACCGGCUAGGUGCUUUAUGACUCUCGUUAGUCUCUCCCACCCCAACCUUUGCACUAAAUUGCCCGAGGGCAGCUCUUGUCACUGCUGUAGAACAAAGUCCUGCGCAGAGACGAUAGCCAAGAAAUAGUUAAUAAAAUAAUGGAAAACGGGUGCCUUCUACUGAGCUCCCGCUAAUUGUGAGUGAGUAGAGGACUUGCCCUGUGGAGAUUCAGUGACCUGCUGGGUGUUGCUGAGCUGUGAGGAAGGUCAGGUCUGGCUGCAGUGGUGAGGCUGUGACUCAAUCAAUCACUGCUGAUGCUCCCAGGACCUGCACCAGCUUAGUCCCAGGGGCAAGGAUUUUAAACCCCCACCUCCAUUUCCUCAUCUGUAAGAUUCAAAUAACAGUCACCCCUGCCUCACGGGAUGGAGCUGUGUAAUGCCCGGAACAGUGCCUGCUGCAUAGAGGGGCUUGCUGCCAGCUGCCUCUCCCUCCUUGUCUCUUACCUGCCUGCUGCCUGGGUCAGGAUGAAGCAGGGCCCUUGUGUUGCCCCAACCCUGGCUGUUGGCUAAGAGCCCACGCGAUCUGCCUGUGAGAGGAGUUCCUUCCGGAAGAACCAGGGCAGCUUCUGCCCCUAGAGGGCCAAUGCCCUAGCUGAGUGCAGUCCCCCGGCCCCAGCCUGGUCCAGCUUUGGGAAGAGGGUGCCCAGUUGUGCAAUCCAGGCCGGGGCAGCCGUGUCCUGAUCUUGGUAUUCAGGGCUGAGCCUGGAGGGGGCUUGUGAUGCCUGACUCUGUCUCUCUCUCUGGCCCCAUGCCUUGGUAGCUGUGAGGUGUCACUGCUUUGGGUGACCUGAUCUGCCUGUGAUGGAUGAGCACCGGGGAAAUAUAGAAGACUCGGAAUUAGAAGAUGUGAGUGGGCUUUGGCCCCAGCCUCCCUACCCCACUCCCUGUCCUGGGCUGCCUGUGACCAACCUUCUUGUUUCUGCAGGCACACUGGAUAGCCCUGCUGGAGCUCAGUGUCCCUAAUCCCCUCCAGAUACUGGUGGCCUAGGGGAGGUCAUCAAAGACCGGUGGGACAUCGACCUCAGCCCGUUUCCACGCUUUUUUUUUUUUUUUUUUUUUGAGACAGAGUUUCACUCUUGUUGCCCAGGCUGGAGUGCAAUGGCGUGAUCUUGGCUCACCGCAACCUCCGCCUCCCGGGUUCAAGCAAUUCUCCUGCCUCAGCCUCCCGAGUAGCUGGGAUUACAGGCGUGUGCCACCAGGCUUGACUAAUUUUCUAUUUUUAGUAGAGACAAGGUUUCUCCAUGUUGGUCAGGCUGGUCUCAAACUCCCGACUUCAGGGAAUCUGCCUGCCUCGGCCUCCGAAAGUGCUGGGAUUACAGGAGUGAGCCACUGCGCCAGGCCUUCUCCAGGCUCUUGGCACCUUAGCCAGAAACAAUUUAAGGACAAGUGCAAAAGUCAUGAACGUAGGCAGAUUUCUUGCAGAGUAAAGGGACUCACUCAAGAAGAGGAACGUGGGGGUCCUCAAGAGAGUGUCUCAUGCCCUACAAGGUGUGGGGCUGACCUUUAUGGGCUUCUUUAACUAAAGAGGGUAUAUUCAUGAAGAUUCCAGGAAAAGGUAAAGAUUUCUCAAGACCGUGGUGCCACAAUUUACACCCAAAUACAGGUGUUCCUGGAGCCGUCUUGGCACUGGUGGGUGUAUGGUUUCAUAUGUUACUGAUCAUACAAUGAGAUCCUAGGUGAAACCUACAUCAAAUACAGCGCCAUGUUGUGUCUGGUUGGUCGUAGCCAGCUUGGUCCUCAUCCUAUUUUUCAGGGACUUAUUGGCCCUUAGCACAUGCAGCUAUUUCAAGUGUCCUUCUUCUCUCAUGUGAAACUGCUGCCUGGGAUUUUCUAUUCACUUGCUACCACUCUAUUAAUCUCACAUUCUCGCCUCUUUUCUGUGCCACCCGGUGUGGGUCCGACAGGUUGUUACUAGAGUGCAAUACAAAGUCAGUCAAGGCGGACCUCCUGAGGGUUGCUGAGGGCAGGGGUGGAGCUAGUAGCCUGAGGACCUGCCAGUCACGGGGAUUCCUCAUGGGCACAGAGGAGGGAGGAGGGGCCCAUGGCCCUAGCAUAUGAGAAGCCUCUCCUCUGCCUGGAAGCCCCAUGCCUCAGCUUCCCCCACACUCCCACCUGUCCGCUUGCCUCUGAACUCACGCAUUUCUUGGAAGUCUGGGGAGAUUCACCUUUACUCAGAUGGUUGUUUACCUGUCUCGUGCACAGCUUGACCUUGGACUUUAAAGUGAGGAUAAAGAACGAGGAGGAUGGGGGGAUGCCCCCCUUCCACGGGGCCCUGUGGCUUCCAAACCUCGGCCUCCUCUGGUCUCUUGUCUGUGGAGCCUCCUUCAAACCCAGGGAAAGAAAACCACCUGCCACGGGUUGUGGUUCUUCUAGGAUCUUCUAUCAAUGUUCUAUGAGGUCCCCAGGAGCCAUGAAGCUGGGGCUGACUCCCAGGGCAAUGGGACUGCAGUGUCCUUGUUCUUUCUUGUUCUAUGCAUCCAUGCUCUGCUCCACCCCUGCCCCUUCACUCUGCCCACACACAUCCCUCUAGACUGGCCUUGUGGUCAGAGCCUGGAGUGCAUGGGCUGCUGGAGGCCUGUGGGCUGCACUGGGCCAGAACCCCUGGCGCCUUCAAGACUGGCCUGGAGCCAGCAGGUAGGUGACCUUUCCAGGGCCUGCCUAUCCCAUCUUUCUCCUCCAAUCCCUCCCCUCUCUUGCCUGGGUCAAUUAGAGAAAGCUUGUCUGUUGGCUGCCUGGCAGGGUGGAGUUCAGGGGCAGGUCAGGAGCCCCGUGACAGCUCAAAAAAAAAAAAAAAAAAAAAAAAACAGAAAAAAAAAAACCUACAAAAACAAACCCACCAUUGGGCCUUUCCCCUUUCAUUCUUCUGUUUUCUACACAGCAAACUCAGUCAUGGCUUUGGAGAUCACUUUAAGCUUGUCUCCAGCUGGCAAACUAAGGAGGGUAAUGGAGAAGCUCCCCCACCCCCAACCCCACCCCUUCCUUCCGGAAGCAAAUCUAAGUCCAGCCCCGGCUCCAGAUCCCUCCCACACUGGACCUAGGAAACCCUCAGCUCAGAGAACAACCCUGCAUUCCCCACACAGCACCCACAAUCAGCCACUGCGGGCGAGGAGGGCAUAAGGCCAGGUUCCCAAGAGCUCAGGUGAGUGACACAGUGGAAUGGCCCAGGGCGCCCUCACCCUGCUCAGCUUGUGGCUCUAACAUUCCAGAAGCUGAGGCCUCUGCCAUCCCUGCCCUUUCCCCAUGGAUAUCCCUUUUCAGACAACCCUGGCCUGCGUGAAUCCCCCUCCCUUCCCUUGUUUGUUUGUUUUUUUUCCCCCGGGGAGGACAGGUCUUGCUGUCACCCAGGCUGGAGUGCUGUGGGAUCCUGGCCACUGCAGCCUUGAAUUCCUGGGCUCAAGUGAUUCUCUUGCCUCAGCCUCUGGAGUAGCUAGGACUACAGGCCCUCACCGUCCUGCCUGGUUAAUGUUUAAGAAUUUUUUUAAAGAUUUUUAGAGAUGGGGUCUUGCAAUGCUGCACCAGGUUGGUCUCCAACUCCUGGCCUCAGCCUCCCUAGGGUCUGGGAUUAUAGGUGGGAGCCACCCUGCCUAGGCCUGUGCUUUUGCUGAGUCAUCAGAGUUUUGUUCAUUCCCACAGCAGCUCUGGCCCCUAGUAGCAGCUCAGUUCCUCGAUGGGCUGUGUUUGUCCUGGAGCCCAGAUGGACUGUGGCCAGGCAAGUGGAUCACAGGCCUGGCUGGCCUGGGAGGUUUCCACAUGUGAGGGGCUGAGGGGCUCAAGGAGGAGAGCAUCUCCACUGGGUGGAGGCUGGGGGUCCCAGCAGGAAAUGGUGAGACAAAGGGCGCUGGCUGGCAGGGAGACAGCACAGGAAGGUCCUAGAGCUUCCUCAGUGCAGCUGGACUCUCCUGGAGAACUUCACACACCCUGAUAUCUGGGCCUUGCCCGACGAGGGUGCUUUCACUGGUCUGCACCAUGGCCCAGGCCCUGGGAUUUUGAACAGCUCCGCAGGUGAAUGAAAGGUGCGGCCAGGCUGGGGAACCACCGCAUUAGAGCCUGACCUGGUUUUCAGCCCCAGCCCCGCCACUGACUGGCUUUGUGAGUGCGGGCAAGUCACUCAGCCUCCCUAGGCCUCAGUGACUUCCCUGAAAGCAAGAAUUCCACUUUCUUGCUGUUGUGAUGGUGGUAAGGGAACGGGCCUGGCUCUGGCCCCUGACACAGGAACAUGGAGCUGAUCCAGGACACCUCCCGCCCGCCACUGGAGUACGUGAAGGGGGUCCCGCUCAUCAAGUACUUUGCAGAGGCACUGGGGCCCCUGCAAAGCUUCCAGGCCCGGCCUGAUGACCUGCUCAUCAGCACCUACCCCAAGUCCGGUAAGUGAGGAGGGCCACCCACCCUCUCCCAGGUGGCAGUCCCCACCUUGGCCAGCGAGGUCGUGCCCUCAGCCUGCUCACCUCCCAUCUCCCUCCCUCUCCAGGCACCACCUGGGUGAGCCAGAUUCUGGACAUGAUCUACCAGGGCGGUGACCUGGAGAAGUGUCACCGAGCUCCCAUCUUCAUGCGGGUGCCCUUCCUUGAGUUCAAAGCCCCAGGGAUUCCCUCAGGUGUGUGAGUGUGUCCUGGGUGCAAGGGGAGUGGAGGAAGACAGGGCUGGGGCUCAGCUCACCAGACCUUCCCUGACCCACUGCUCAGGGAUGGAGACUCUGAAAGACACACCGGCCCCACGACUCCUGAAGACACACCUGCCCCUGGCUCUGCUCCCCCAGACUCUGUUGGAUCAGAAGGUCAAGGUGAGGCUGGGCACAGUGUUUCACAUCCAUAAUCCCAGCACUUUGGGAGGCUGAGGCAGGCAGAUCACCUGAGGUUGGGAGUUUGAGAGCACCCUGAGCAACAUAGAAGAACCUUGUCUCUACUAAAAAUACAAAAUUAGCCGGGUGUGGUGGCGGGUGCCUGUAAUCCCAGCUACUCCGAAGCCUGAGACAGGAGAAUCACUUGAACCCGGGAGAAGGAGGUUGUGGUGAGCCAGAGAUCCCACCAUUGCACUCCAGCCUGAGCAACAAGAGCAAAACUCACAAAAAUAAAUAAAUAAAUAAAUAUAUAAAUAAAAAUAAAAGUGUGGCACCUGUGGUGGCUCACUGCUGUAAUGCCAGCACUUUGGGAGGCCAAAUUGGGUGGAUCACUUGAGCUCAGGAGUUACAGACCAGCCCGGGAAACAUGGGGAGACUCCAUCUCUAUGAAAAUGCAAAAUAUCAGCAGGGCAUGGUGGCAUGGCGCUGUAGUUCCAGCUACUGGAAAGUCUGAGGUUGGAGGAUUGCUUGAGCCUGGGAGGUCAAGGUUGCAGUGAGUUAUUAUCACUCCAGUGCACUCCAACUUCGGUGACAGAAAAAAAGAAAGACCAAGGUCUUUUUUUUUUUUUUUUGAGACUCUCUGUCUCAAAAAUAAAUAAAUAAAAUAAAAUAAAAUAAAUCCCACAAUAAAAAGAAAAAGCAAAGGUCCAGGUGUGGGGCAUGUGAAUCCAGGGAAGGAGGCCCUGGCUCAGCCCAGCUUUGGUCCUGUUCUUCUGGGAAAGUCGCCUCACUUCCUCCAGCCUUGUCUCAUCUUCUGCGGCGGGGACUGUCUGCCUCUUGCUCUGAUGACCAAGAACAUAAGACUCUUCAGUGUAGACCUAAGAAAGCUAGAGGGUGGGUCCUCACAGGCCCACAAAAUUUGGUGGCGGUGGGAUCACGGCUGGUGGAGCAUGCCUUGGUCCAGAUCGGGGUGUGACGCAUUGAUGCAGAUUAUAUUACUAUAGAAUAUGAUGGUCUCAGGGACCAGGCAGGACUUUGGCUUCUGAGCAGGGUUCAGAUCCUGGCUUGGCCCUACCGGUGCCGUGAGAUCUCAAACAAGUCAGCCUGUAAGCCUCAGGUUCCUCCUUUGCCAAUCCAAGAGAUGAGCUGGCCUGGGGCAGGCUGUGUGGUGAUGGUGCUGGGGUUGAGUCUUCUGCCCCUGCAGGUGGUCUAUGUUGCCCGCAACGCAAAGGAUGUGGCGGUUUCCUACUACCACUUCUACCACAUGGCCAAGGUCCACCCUGAGCCUGGGACCUGGGACAGCUUCCUGGAGAAGUUCAUGGUCGGAGAAGUGUCCUAUGGAUCCUGGUACCAGCACGUGCAGGAGUGGUGGGAGCUGAGCCGCACCCACCCUGUUCUCUACCUCUUCUAUGAAGACAUGAAGGAGAACCCCAAAAGGGAGAUUCAAAAGAUCCUGGAGUUUGUGGGGCGCUCCCUGCCAGAGGAGACCGUGGACUUCAUGGUUCAGCACACGUCGUUCAAGGAGAUGAAGAAGAACCCUAUGACCAACUACACCACCGUCCCCCAGGAGUUCAUGGACCACAGCAUCUCCCCCUUCAUGAGGAAAGGCAUGGCUGGGGACUGGAAGACCACCUUCACCGUGGCGCAGAAUGAGCGCUUCGAUGCGGACUAUGCGGAGAAGAUGGCAGGCUGCAGCCUCAGCUUCCGCUCUGAGCUGUGAGAGGGGCUCCUGGAGUCACUGCAGAGGGAGUGUGCGAAUCAAGCCUGACCAAGGGGCGAAUCAAUCCUGACCAAGAAUAAAAUAUGAAUUGAGGGCCAGGGACGGUAGGUCAUGUCUGUAAUCCCAGCAAUUUGGAGGCUGAGGUGGGAGGAUCAUUUGAGCCCAGGAGUUCGAGACCAACCUGGGCAACAUAGUGAGAUUCUGUUAAAAAAAUAAAAUAAAAUAAAACCAAUUUUUAAAAAG
rnacentral:sRNA from 1 species